UUUGUGUUUGCCCAGGCAAGUAGAACAACGGAUUGAACAGCUGAUGUUUUACUCAACACCGGCGAAAUGUCAAAAUCAAAGCAAAUCACACUGCGAGUGCAAUCAUCAGAAGGAACUAAGCGAGUAGAUGCUUGUUUAUCAGAUUCUGUCUUUACACUUUUUGAAAAAGUGUUUACUGCUUUUAAUUUGAAUAGUCUUACCUUUGGAUUGUAUAAGCAAAGAAAUCGUCAAGAUGAAAUUAUAAGUACUCGGAGUAAAACAUUGUUAGAAGCAGGUCUUUCCCAUGGUGAUAUGCUCUAUCUUGUGCCAUUUAAUGGUGCACAGCUUUGGAAUACACCAUCUGCCAGUAAUAACUCACAUAUUUCUUCUGCAGGAUUGACCGAUGGAGGAAGCAAUACAAAUCGUAUUGUUCAAAAUUCAAAUGUGAAGGGUGCGCUUCGUAGCCUGCCAAAUGUAGUUGAAGAUGAAGUAGAUGAACAAUUGUGGAAGUUGGAUGGGAAAAUACAAAGAAAACGUGAUGAAAAACUUUGCCGUCAUGGUGUAAAGGGAUGUUGCGUACACUGCUCUCCUUUGGAACCCUUUGAUGAAGUUUAUAUGAAAGAACAAAAUAUUAAACAUUUAUCCUUUCAUUCGUUUCUUAGAAAACUCACUGCCGGAGUUGAUAGGGGCAAAUUUUUACAAUUAGACGACAUAUGCUGCCGAGUAAAGACUGGUUGCAAGGAUCAUCCUCCAUGGCCUAGGGGUAUUUGUAGCAAGUGUCAACCUAAUUCUAUUACUUUGAAUCGUCAAACUUAUCGUCAUGUAGACAAUGUCAUGUUUGAGAAUGCUAGUUUAGUUGAACGUUUUUUGAAUUAUUGGAGAAGUACUGGUCAUCAACGUAUUGGUUAUUUGUAUGGAAGAUAUGAAAUACAUACAGAUGUACCAUUAGGGAUUAGAGCAGUUGUUGCGGCUAUAUAUGAACCUCCGCAAGAAAGUACAAAGGAUUCUAUACAACUUUUGCCAGAUGAAAAAGAGUCAUUAGUUAAUGAAUUAGCUCGAUCUCUCAACUUAAAAAAAAUAGGAUGGAUUUUCACGGAUCUCAUAGCCGAAGAUGUGAAGAAAGGAACGGUGAAACAUGUCCGAAAUAUAGAGAGCCAUUUCUUAACGGCGCAAGAGUGUAUUAUGGCAGGGUACUUCCAAAAUCAAUUUCUUAAUCCUUGUCGUUUGUCACCCAGUGGUUAUUAUGGUUCUAAAUUCGUAACUGUUUGUGUCACAGGUGAUGAUAAAAAUCAAGUUCACAUGGAAGGAUAUCAAGUGUCAAAUCAAUGUUCUGCACUGGUACGCGAUAACUGUUUGGUGCCAACGAAAGAUGCACCGGAACUGGGCUAUGUAAUCGAAUCAACCGAUAAGCAAUAUGUUCCAGAUGUCUUCUACAAGGAAAAAGAUAGCUACGGCAAUGAAGUAUCAAGGCUAGCAAGACCUCUACCCGUGGAAUAUUUAUUAGUGGAUAUACCUGCAUCCACUCCACUUACUCCCCAAUUUACUUUUUAUGCAAACGAUGAUAUUACUCCGUUCCUUAUUGAAAACAGAUUAAUUGAUGGACAAGUUCAAGAGUUUCGUUCAUUGUGCACUUAUAUGCAGCAGUUUAAUUCGGACCAAUUUUUAGAAGCUAUUUCAGAUUUCCACUUGCUUUUGUUUAUUACAACAAUGGAUAUGCUACCCAUGAAGGAUCACAUGGGACCAUUGCUCGAAGCUGUGCGUACUAAAAAUAAACAAACAGCAAUUGAAUGGUCACGUUCGGAACAUUGGGCCACGGUGGAACAAUUAAUAUCAGCUAGUGCAGCAUCCACGUCACAAGUUCCGCAAGCACCGUUUAAUAGCGGCAUGAUUAGAGCAUCGUCUUCCCUGCCAGCAACUAGUUCUAGCGUAGCCGUUGGCACGGAAGCUGCUGCUGCUAAUUCAUCUGCCAAUCAAGAAUUAUGGACCUGUCCUCAUUGCACUUUUAUCAACGGUGCAGAAUUUUCAAUAUGCGAAAUGUGCAGUCUACCAAGGUACUCCUAAAUGAAGUCUCCAUAUUUUACAAAACAUUGUGUGCUCUUUUAAGGGUGUUCCCUCUUUAAAAAUCAUUAAUUUACUUCCGCAGGAUUUGACUCAUCCUGUAUCCUUGCGGAUAUUAUGAUUGUUUUCUACGCAUCUUUGGCCUUAUUUAUGAGUGAAUAAAACAGACAAAAUAAACAUAAGAAAAAAAUAUCAAGCAAAAAUACAUAUUUCCGACUAACACUAAUGCACUACCCUGCUUUUUUGAUCUAAUGAUUAUUCGUUUACAGCCAUUUUACAUACUUGACUGUAAUGAAUCCCUGCAAGUUACUUCCGAGGUGACCAAGAUGUUUUUUCGUAGCUGGAUUCUAGAUUAUUAAA